CUUCAUCUUUCUGGAACUGGACUAGAGUUCUCUCUUAAAAUUCCAUUCAGACUGAAAAAUUAGCCACCACCAGGACAAUUCAGGAAAAUUCUUGUUUAAAUUCAGCCAAACACCUGACUGGAGGCAAAGAAGAGGGAAAACAGAGGCAAGGAUGCAUACUAGUUUCCUAUUGCUGCCGUAACAAAUUACCGCAAACUUAGUGCCUUGGAACAAUACCAGUUUAUUCUCUCAUGGUUCAGGACAUCAGACGUGUGACGCAGCUCACCGGGCUAAACCACGCUGUCAGCUGCUGCGCUCCUUCUGGAGGCUCCAGGCCAGAAUCUGUUUCCUUGCCUUUUCCAGCUUCAAGAAGCUGCCUGCAUUCCUCAGCUGGUGGCCCCUUCCUCCGUCGUCACAGCCGGCCACAUCGUCUCUCUCUGACUCUGCUGAUGUCAUCACAAAUCUCUCUGACCAUCAGCCCCGGCUGGAAAUGAGUCUCUGCCUUUCAGGCCUCCCGUGAUUAGACCGAGCCCACCUGGAGGGAUAAUCCAGGAUAAGACCCCCAUAUCAAUGGCCAUCACCUCAGCCACAUCUGCAAAGUCCCUUUGCCAUGUAAUGUAACAUAGUCACCAGUUCUGGACAUUACUGCAUAGACGUCUUGGGCAGGGGGCAUAAUUCUGCCCAUCAUAGAAAGUGAUGAAAGAAAUUUUCCCAGAAGCAAAAGACACGAAAGUGACCUUAAAUCCAUCCAUUCAUUGAACAAUCACAUACUGAGCACCUGCUUUGUGCCAGGCCUCUGCUAUGUCCUGAGGAUAGAGCGGUAAGGGUGUCAGCAAGCACUGCCCUCCUGAAGCUUACAUUCCAGAGGAGGGAGAAAGACAAUUUGCAAGAGAACUAACAGAAAGGCUAGGUGACGGCAGGCAUGAUGAGGCCCAGAAGGAAAUGUUAAAGUGGCAUGGGAGAAGGGGAGGAAUACUCGGAGAGAAGGUAGAAAGGCCUCUCAGAGGAGAAAACACGAAGGAUGGGAAAGGAGAAGCUAUUCGAGGGAGGAGAGCUCUGGUCAGAAGAAAAAGCCAGUGCAAAGGCCCUGAGCUGAAUGGACUGAUGGAUUUGAUUAAGGAGGGGUCACCCAGCCGAGCAGUGGGCGACACAGUAGAUGGGAACGCAGGCUUGGAGCAGACGGCCCACAGCUGGAUCCUAGGACCCCCACCUGGCUGCUGCGGAACCUGAGUGGUCCAUCCAUCUGGACAGCGGAGAGAAUGAGAAUGCCUGUCUGCUAGAUGCACCGUGCGCAGAGACCAGCACCGCACAGGAAACAGUGCACAGAUCUCAAAGGUGCUAUGGAGUGACCUCUCAGAUAUUUCCAGAAACAAGCACCCCACCAUCUGGAGAGGCUGCACAGUGCUGGCCCCCUUGGAAAGUGACAAGCACAUUAGCAUAUUAAAUGGCUCUGAGAAGUCCUGCCCCAGAACCUGUGUUAUCUUUGCUCACACUGGGGCUUCCCACAUCUAUUUGACCACACAACCUUUUUUUUCUCUUUCCCCAUCACACACUUUAAUGAUGGCCUGAGGAUCUAGUUACUUAUCUAAGGUAACUCUGCCCCAGGGCAAAACAAAUAAUUUCACCAGCAAAGCUAUGCAAG
rnacentral:lncRNA from 1 species